GAUGAACGCUGGCGGCGUGCCUAAUACAUGCAAGUCGAGCGAACGGACGAGAAGCUUGCUUCUCUGAUGUUAGCGGCGGACGGGUGAGUAACACGUGGAUAACCUACCUAUAAGACUGGGAUAACUUCGGGAAACCGGAGCUAAUACCGGAUAAUAUUUUGAACCGCAUGGUUCAAAAGUGAAAGACGGUCUUGCUGUCACUUAUAGAUGGAUCCGCGCUGCAUUAGCUAGUUGGUAAGGUAACGGCUUACCAAGGCAACGAUGCAUAGCCGACCUGGGAGGGGGGAUCGCCACACUGGAACUGAGGAACGGGCCAGAACUCCACGGGAGGCAGCAGGUGGGAAUCUUCCGCAAUGGGCGAAAGCCUGACGGAGCAACGCCGCGUGAGUGAUGAAGGUCUUCGGAUCGUAAAACUCUGUUAUUAGGGAAGAACAUAUGUGUAAGUAACUGUGCACAUCUUGACGGUACCUAAUCAGAAAGCCACGGCUAACUACGUG
rnacentral:rRNA from 1 species